rnacentral:rRNA from 1 species
CCUACGGGAGGCAGCAGUGGGGAAUAUUGGGCAAUGGGCGCAAGCCUGACCCAGCAACGCCGCGUGAAGGAAGAAGGCUUUCGGGUUGUAAACUUCUUUUAAGAGGGAAGAGCAGAAGACGGUACCUCUUGAAUAAGCCACGGCUAACUACGUGACAGAAGCCGCGGUAAUACGUAGGUGGCAAGCGUUGUCCGGAUUUACGGGGUGUAAAGGGCGUGCAGCCGGGAAGACAAGUCAGAUGUGAAAUCCCGGGGCUCAACCGCGGAACUGCAUGUGAAACUGUUUUUCUUGAGUACCGGAGAGGUCAUCGGAAUUCCUUGGGUAGGGGUGAAAUGCGUAGAUAUAAGGAGGAACACCAGUGGCGAAGGCGGAUGACUGGACGGCAACUGACGGUGAGGCGCGAAAGCGUGGGGAGCAAACAGGAUUAGAUACCCGAGUAGUC